rnacentral:tRNA from 2 species
UGGGGCGUGGCCAAGCGGUAAGGCACCGGUUUUUGGUAUCGGUAUCCCUGGUUCGAAUCCAGGCGCCCCAGCCA